UGUUUAAUAAAUUUAUUCUUCUUCUUCUUCUUCCUUCCUCUGCAGAUGAUUCUCAAUACAGCCACUACAUCUCCCUCAAACACAAUUACAUAACAAUGAACAUUUUAAGAAACAUGAACUAAACAAUUGUUGUUUUCGUGUUUUUUUACUUGUACCUACCACGUGUUUCACACAUUCCCAAAAACUAUCUUCUAAAACUCUUUUAACAAGCAUCAUCAAACAUAAACUAAAAUUCGCAUGAGCACGUAUUACAGACACUGCCUCUCUCCCAAACACAGCUACAGAACAACAAUAUUGAGAAUUCGC
rnacentral:lncRNA from 1 species